rnacentral:lncRNA from 1 species
UGAUACAAAUAUUACAAGUAAAAAAAACAAAAAAACGACAGCUUUAUCAAUAACAGUUACAGUAGCAACAAUAGCUACAGUAGCAAUAAUAAUUACACUAGCAAUAAUAAGUGCAGUAACAACAAUAGCUACAGUAUUUUUUUAUUUUAUUUUUUAACUCCUUUAUAAUGUUUUUUUGUAUACAUAUGUAUUUAUACAUAUAUUUUUUAAUUAUUUAAAGGAAAACAAUGAAAUUAUAUUAUGUGUGGGUAAUAGUCUUAACUGCUGUAAUUUUAAAAUUUUUAAAAUGUGUGACUAUUCUGUGUCAGUGUUGUUACCACUUACUAAUAUAUGUAAAGAUUGCUAUGGUAAAAAAGAAAAAACAAAUCCAUUUGAAGAUAAUACUACCAAUAAAAAUAUGUUAAUUACAUAUUCUUCGACCGUUAAUAGCUUACCAUGUAAAUUGACAAUUGAAAAAAGUUCUAUAGAUUUAUCACAGAACAUACUAGAGCUAGUCUAUAAAUUAUUAAAAGGGUCAAGGAUAUAUAAAAAAAACAUAUCCUUAGCAUUGUUUUAUUUUCACUUUUUUUAUUCCUAUCUUUCUUUUUUUUUAUUUAUUAUUGCCAUUUGUUUCUUGCCACCUAUUAUAGCGGUUGUUGAUUAUUUAUUGUUUAUUUUUAUAAUAAUACCAGUACUUUCGGUGAUCCUCUUAAACAAUAACAACAAUUCUACAAUAAUGAACGACAUUCCAGAUAAAAAUAUAAAAAAAGAUGCAGUUAUUAAGUCUUUGGUAAAAAAUAAAAAAAUAAAAAAAAUUAAAAAAAUAAAUGAACGAACAAACGAACACAAACAUGAGCUUAAAGAGCUGAUAAUACUGUGUUUUUAUAUUACCUACGUGCUUGUACAAAUUUUUUAAUAAAUAUAGAAUGUGUGUGUUUAUAUCUUCCAUACAUAUACAUGUUUGCUUCUAUUUUUUCAUUCACGAGUUCGUUUAUUUAUUUUAUUUUAUUUUAUUUAUUCUUUAUUAUUUAUUCUUUAUUAUUUAUUAUUUAUUAUUUAUU